CGGGAGUGGUGGCGUGUGCCUGUAGUCUCAGCUUCUCCGGAGUUUGAGGCUGGAGGAUCGCUUGAGUCCAGGAGUUCUGGGCUAUAGUGAGCUAUGCCGAUCAGGUGUCCGCACUGUUUGGCAUCAAUAUGGUGACCUCCUGGGAGCCGGAGACCACCAGGUUGCCUAAGAAGGGGUGAACCAGCCCAGGUCGGAAAUAGAGCAGGUCAAAACUCCCGUGCUGAUCAGUAGUGGGAUCGGGCCUGUGAAUAGCCACUGCACUCCAGCUUGGGCAACAUAGGGAGACCCCAUCUCAA
ensembl:misc_RNA Metazoa_SRP Metazoan signal recognition particle RNA